rnacentral:rRNA from 1 species
AUGCACGCUGGCGGCUUGCCUCAUACAUGCAAGUCGCGCGCACAGACGAGGAGCUUGCUCCUUCGACGUUAGCGGCGGCCGGGUGAGUAACACGUAGGUAACCUACCUAUAAGACUGGGAUAACUUCGGGAAACCGGAGCUAAUACCGGAUAAUAUUUCGAGCCGCAUGGUUCGAUAGUGAAAGAUGGCUUUGCUAUCACUUAUAGAUGGACCUGCGCCGUAUUAGCUAGUUGGUAAGGUAACGGCUUACCAAGGCAACGAUACGUAGCCGACCUGAGAGGGUGAUCGGCCACACUGGAACUGAGACACGGUCCAGACUCCUACGGGAGGCAGCAGUAGGGAAUCUUCCGCAAUGGGCGAAAGCCUGACGGAGCAACGCCGCGUGAGUGAUGAAGGUCUUCGGAUCGUAAAACUCUGUUAUUAGGGAAGAACAAACGUGUAAGUAACUGUGCACGUCUUGACGGUACCUAAUCAGAAAGCCACGGCUAACUACGUG